UCCGGGAAGGCAGCCAGUGGGGGAAUUUUUGGACCAAUGGGGGGAAACCCCUGAUUCCAGCCCAUCCCCGCGUGUAUGAUGAAGGCCUUUCGGGGUUGUAAAAGUACUUUUGGCAAGAGAAGAAAAAGGUAUCUCCUUAAUACGGGGAUACUGCUGACGGUAUUUGCAGAAUAAGCACCGGCUAACUACGUGCUCAGCAGCCGCGGGUAAUACGUAGGGUGCAAAGCGUUAAAUCGGGAAUUACUGGGCGUAAAGCGUGUGUAGGCGGUUCGGAAAGAAAGAUGUGAAAUCCCAGGGCUCAACCUUGGAACUGCAUUUUUUAACUGCCGAGCUAGAGUAUGUCAGAGGGGGGUAGAAUUCCACGUGUAGCAGUGAAAUGCGUAGAUAUGNUGGAGGAAUACCGAUGGCGNAAGGCAGCCCCCUGGGAUAAUACUGACGCUCAGACACGAAAGCGUGGGGAGCAAANAGGAAAAGAAAGGCUGGUAGUCCACGCCCUAAACGAUGUCAACUUNCUUUGAUGGGGCCGUUAGGCCUUAGUAGCGCAGCUAACGCGUGAAGUUGACCGCCUGGGGAGUACGGUCGCAAGAUUAAAACUCAAAGGAAUUGACGGGGACCCGCACAAGCGGUGGAUGAUGUGGAUUAAUUCGAUGCAACGCGAAAAACCUUACCUACCCUUGACAUGUCUGGAAAGCCGAAGAGAUUUGGCCGUGCUCGCAAGAGAACCGGAACACAGGNUGCUGCAUGGCUGUNCGUCNAGCUNCGUNGUCGUGAGAUGUUGGGUUAAGUCCCGCAACGAGCG
rnacentral:rRNA from 1 species